rnacentral:rRNA from 1 species
AGAGUUUGAUCCUGGCUCAGGACGAACGCUGGCGGCGCGCCUAACACAUGCAAGUCGAACGGAGCUUAGAGAGCUUGCUUUUUAAGCUUAGUGGCGAACGGGUGAGUAACGCGUGAGUAACCUGCCCUAGAGUGGGGGACAACAGUUGGAAACGACUGCUAAUACCGCAUAAGCCCACGGUACCGCAUGGUACUGAGGGAAAAGGAUUUAUUCGCUUUAGGAUGGACUCGCGUCCAAUUAGCUAGUUGGUGAGGUAACGGCCCACCAAGGCGACGAUUGGUAGCCGGACUGAGAGGUUGAACGGCCACAUUGGGACUGAGACACGGCCCAGACUCCUACGGGAGGCAGCAGUGGGGGAUAUUGCACAAUGGGGGAAACCCUGAUGCAGCGACGCCGCGUGGAGGAAGAAGGUUUUCGGAUUGUAAACUCCUGUCGUUAGGGACGAUAAUGACGGUACCUAACAAGAAAGCACCGGCUAACUACGUGCCAGCAGCCGCGGUAAAACGUAGGGUGCAAGCGUUGUCCGGAAUUACUGGGUGUAAAGGGAGCGCAGGCGGGAAGACAAGUUGGAAGUGAAAACCAUGGGCUCAACCCAUGAAUUGCUUUCAAAACUGUUUUUCUUGAGUAGUGCAGAGGUAGAUGGAAUUCCCGGUGUAGCGGUGGGAUGCGUAGAUAUCGGGAGGAACACCAGUGGCGAAGGCGGUCUACUGGGCACCAACUGACGCUGAGGCUCGAGAGCAUGGGUAGCAAACAGGAUUAGAUACCCUGGCAGUCCAUGCCGUAAACGAUGAUUACUAGGUGUUGGGGGAUUGACCCCCUCAGUGCCGCAGUUAACACAAUAAGUAAUCCACCUGGGGAGUACGACCGCAAGGUUGAAACUCAAAGGAAUUGACGGGGGCCCGCACAAGCGGUGGAGCAUGUGGUUUAAUUCGAAGCAACGCGAAGAACCUUACCUGCUCUUGACAUCUCCCUGACCGGCAAGUAAUGUUGCCUUUCCUUCGGGACAGGGAUGACAGGUGGUGCAUGGUUGUCGUCAGCUCGUGUCGUGAGAUGUUGGGUUAGGUCCCGCAACGAGCGCAACCCUUAUCUUUAGUAGCCAGCGGUUCGGCCGGGCACUCUAGAGAGACUGCCAGGGAUAACCUGGAGGAAGGCGGGGAUGACGUCAAAUCAUCAUGCCCCUUAUGACUUGGGCUACACACGUGCUACAAUGGCGUAAAACAAAGGGAAGCAAAGCUGUGAAGCCGAGCAAAUCUCAAAAAUAACGUCUCAGUUCGGACUGUAGUCUGCAACCCGACUACACGAAGCUGGAAUCGCUAGUAAUCGCAGAUCAGAAUGCUGCGGUGAAUACGUUCCCGGGUCUUGCACUCACCGCCCGUCA